rnacentral:rRNA from 1 species
GAGAGUUUGAUCCUGGCUCAGAUUGAACGCUGGCGGCAGGCCUAACACAUGCAAGUCGAGCGGAUGAAAGGAGCUGCUUCCUGGAUUCAGCGGCGGACGGGUGAGUAAUGCCUAGGAAUCUGCCUGGUAGUGGGGGACAACGUUUCGAAAGGAACGCUAAUACCGCAUACGUCCUACGGGAGAAAGCAGGGGACCUUCGGGCCUUGCGCUAUCAGAUGAGCCUAGGUCGGAUUAGCUAGUUGGUGAGGUAAUGGCUCACCAAGGCGACGAUCCGUAACUGGUCUGAGAGGAUGAUCAGUCACACUGGAACUGAGACACGGUCCAGACUCCUACGGGAGGCAGCAGUGGGGAAUAUUGGACAAUGGGCGAAAGCCUGAUCCAGCCAUGCCGCGUGUGUGAAGAAGGUCUUCGGAUUGUAAAGCACUUUAAGUUGGGAGGAAGGGUUGUAGAUUAAUACUCUGCAAUUUUGACGUUACCGACAGAAUAAGCACCGGCUAACUCUGUGCCAGCAGCCGCGGUAAUACAGAGGGUGCAAGCGUUAAUCGGAAUUACUGGGCGUAAAGCGCGCGUAGGUGGUUCGUUAAGUUGGAUGUGAAAUCCCCGGGCUCAACCCUGGGAACUGCAUCCAAAACUGGCGAGCUGGAGUAUGGUAGAGGGUGAAGGA